rnacentral:rRNA from 1 species
UACGGGGGGUGCGAGCGUUGUCCGGAAUCACUGGGCGUAAAGCGCACGUAGGCGGAUUGUUAAGUCAGGGGUGAAAUCCUGGAGCUCAACUCCAGAACUGCCUUUGAUACUGAAGAUCUUGAGUCCGGGAGAGGUGAGUGGAACUGCGAGUGUAGAGGUGAAAUUCGUAGAUAUUCGCAAGAACACCAGUGGCGAAGGCGGCUCACUGGCCCGGUACUGACGCUGAGGCACGAAAGCGUGGGGAGCAAACAGG